rnacentral:rRNA from 1 species
AUGACUGAAUGUGCAGCCAAGGUGAAUGAGUUGCUGGAACUAUAUUGUGAUGCUUCAGGACAGCGCAUAUAUACGGAUAAAUCGUCUAUUUGUUUCAGCAAGGGAGUGUCUGAGGUAACCCAGUUGGAAGUUAAAAACGUGUUGGAUGUUCAUAAUGAGGUGUUGUCUGAGAAAUAUAUAGGUUUACCAAGUGAUGUUGGUAGAGCUAAGGAAGGAUGUUUUAAAUAUCUUACGGACAGAAUUUGGAAGCAUGUCCAAGGUUGGAUGGAGAAGUGCUUGUCCGCGGGAGGGAAGGAAGUCCUCAUUAAAUCUAUCGCCCAAGAGAUACCUACAUAUUCUAUGGCGUGCUUCAAGCUACCGCGGGGUCUAUGUGGGCAUAUAAACAGCCUUCUUAGGAAGUUCUGGUGGGGCAGCAAGCAAGGGCCGAGGAAGUCGGCUUGGGUAUCAUGGAAAACAAUGUGCGAACCAAAAUUCAUGGGAGGAAUGGGACUUCGCGAUAUUGAGCUUUUUAAUCUUGCAUUACUAGCACGCCAGGUGUGA